rnacentral:rRNA from 1 species
AAAAACAUGUCUUUUUGAUUAUAAUUUAAAGUCUAAUCUGCUCAAUGAAAAUUAAAUAGCCGCAGUAUUUUGACUGUGCGAAGGUAGCGUGAUAAUUAGUUUCUUAAUUAGAAACUUGUAUGAAUGAUUGGACGAGAAAAUUUCUGUCUCUUUCAGAAUUGUUUUUGAAUUUUAUUUUUAAGUUAAAAAGCUUAAAUAAUUAUAAAAGACGAGAAGACCCCAUAGAGUUUUAUUUUUUAGUUUUAUUUUAGAAUAAUAUUUUUACUGAAAAAAUUAGUUGGGGUAACUUAAAGAUAAAAUAAAUUCUUUAAAUUUUAAAUCAUUAAUUUAUGAAUUUGAAAUCUAAUUUUUUUAAAUUUAAAUAAAGUUACCUUGGGGAUAACAGCGUA